AACGAACGCUGGCGGCAGGCUUAACACAUGCAAGUCGAACGCCCCGCAAGGGGAGUGGCAGACGGGUGAGUAACGCGUGGGAAUCUACCUAGUUCUACGGAACAACAGUUGGAAACGACUGCUAAUACCGUAUACGCCCUAUGGGGAAAGAUUUAUGCGGAAUUAGAUGAGCCCGCGUAAGAUUAGCUAGUUGGUGGGGUAAUGGCCUACCAAGGCGACGAUCUUUAGCUGGUCUGAGAGGAUGAUCAGCCACACUGGGACUGAGACACGGCCCAGACUCCUACGGGAGGCAGCAGUGGGGAAUAUUGGACAAUGGGCGCAAGCCUGAUCCAGCCAUGCCGCGUGAGUGAUGAAGGGCCCUUAGGGUUGUAAAGCUCUUUCAGUGGGGAAGAUAAUGACGGUACCCANAGAAGAAAG
rnacentral:rRNA from 1 species